GGUUUCCUCCGUCCCCAUCCUGGCGCGCCUCCAUCUGCCGGCAGCAGCUGCCAGCGACUCGCGCGUGGCUGUGUGGUUUGGGGUUGUCUGUCUGGGAACCGCGGGUGCCAUCUUCUGGGUCGCUGCCGACUGUGUCCUCGGUCGCGGUUAAAGAAAUUAACUUUGACUUCCCCAAAGGAUGCUACUACAAAAUAACUUAAAGUUUUUCUGGUAAUAGAAAUCUUUGAUUUCAUGCAUAGGAACCAGAUUACUUAACAGAGAGACUACAAUUAGAUUCUUUAGAAUAAGACAAUGAAAGAGAGAUUGAAAAGGUAAGAGAGAGAUUAUAUUGUAGGUAUGUUUAAAACAUGGGACAUUUUAUUUUAGUUUGUACUAAUUUGUGUGGAAUUUUUUCCUGUAACAUUUCAGUUUUGUCCAUUGAGCUUAGUUUAGGCCUUAUUGUAGUGGUUGGUUUAAAAUUACAGGUAAGAUUUGGAAAUCAUCUGAAAACUUUCAGUAUGUGUUUUUUUUUUUUUAAUCAAAUGUAUUUGAAGUCUAAACAGCUUUUCUUUUUCUUGGGCUCAUUUGGUUGUUUAGAAUUGGGAAUACAUUUUUCCUAUAGAAAAAGAAUAUUCUGAAUUUGUAUUAAUUUGUGAUAAUUACUUUAAAACUAUAUUAUAAUAUUAAAUAUUAAGUGUUAAUAUUUAAGAUGGAAAAUUAUUUUAGCUUUCUAAAAUGCUUGUGAUACUAGCUAACCUAGUUCAUGAGACUCAGUCAGCCAGAUGCUGUUUCUCCUUUAAAUUUUUAAUUUCUUUAAAGAAGUUCUUCAUCACCUACUUCUAGAAUGUUAUUCCUUUUGUGUUUCUUGGGAUGAUUUUAGAAUUUGAGGUAGAGAUUUAGGUUUGGGAGUGGGCUCUGCAACAUUGAGUCAUAAUUUCAUGUGAUAGUUGGUGAGAAAAACAGGAGAAAAAGAAUAAAUGGGAAGAAGGAAAGUGAACUAGGACUAAUUUGACUUUUGGCUAGCAGUUAACAGGCUUCCAUGACUGGCCUGACAGGACACAGCUAGCUAGAGUCCAUGUGCAAUGCAGGGAGAAAAACCCAUAACCAGUGAGUUAAUCCCACACUCUUAGUGCAUUCACUAUCUAAUCAAAUCCAAAUACAGUAAAGAAAAAAAGGAAGAGAAAAAAAAUGAGUCAGCAAAUGCUUUUAUUGCUGAAUUUAGAUAUCUACCUACAAUUCUGUAAUGACCUAGGCUCUUGAAUACUAAUAUUAACAUUUCAUAUUUGCAAAAUAUUUUACAACUAAGAAGGCUCUUGUAUUCAUAAUUGGAUCUUAGAACUAAUUUUGUAAGACAAUUCAGGUAGAUAUACUGCAUGCUUUGCAAAUAAGAAAAUAAUGAAAUUAUUAUUUACCCAAGGUCAUAUGACUAAUAAAUAGCAAAACCUAGAGUAAGUGAUUUAUUCUUCUUUCUAGCCAGUAUUCUUCUGAUACACCAAACUACUCCUGGUGAACUAGGCAUCUGACUCUUCUGAAUGCCUCCUAGAUAUUAACUCCCUGGAGUGCAAAGACAAUGUCCUCUUUUUCUUUUGAAGUUCUUUGCAGUAUUGGUCCACAGAUAGAAGCCAAGCAGGAAUAUUAGUUAAUGAAGUUGUGGAUUUGACAGUGUGGAAAGAGGCAUGGCAUCAGAUGGAUGGAGAGUGAAACCUGAGUAAGUCCCAUCUUGGCUGCAUGACCUAGGGUUCCUUAUUUGAUUUCCUAACCUACUUGUCUCAUCGGUAAAAUACAGAUGAAAAUAUAUGUAUCAUAGUAUUUUUGUAUGACUUAAAAAGAAUAUGGCUGGGGUUGCAGUUCCUUGGUAGAGUACUUGCUAGCAAGUGUGAGGCACUGGGUUUGAUCCUCAGCACGGCAUAUAUAUAAAUUAAUAAAAUAUAGGUCCAUCAAAAAUAAUAACAAACGUUCCACAUAGUACCUGCUAGCCAGUAGAUGCCCACUAUUCAAUUUAACGAUGUAGCUUAUGGCUUUCCUUCCUUUUUCCAGCUUAACCCUUUUUUUUCCUUGGAGAUGUUUUUAUUUGUGUGUUGGCUUUGUUUUAUAUGUUUUUAAUCUUAAUAAUUAGUCUGCCUUAGUUGGUACUCUAGGAUGGAGCAACCCAUUUUGCUUAGAGCAUCUUCAUAUCUGACCCUGUAAAUUCUGAGAAGCUGGAAGAAAGGGAAAUAUGCAUUUUACCUGAAGCAGAUAUAUCAUGUUCCUCAUUUCUUGCUCCCUUUAGUUAGGCAGUUAAGUUACAAAAAAACUGAUCCAGGACUAUUCUUAGGAGGAAAAUCUGACUUUGUGGAUAUGCUCAGAAGUCAAAUGUUGUCUCUGCCUGAACCAGUAUAUCCUUGGAAACUUGAAACAUGAAACUUAAUAAUUAAUUUUAAAUUUUGUUUGUGGUAUUUAUAAGUGAAGGUACAAAUGUUUUUUUCAUGAAGUUCUCUAAAGCUAUUAGAUGUGGCAAAACUAGAUAUUGCCCAUUUUAUUUUAAGAUUUUGACUUAGUCUUGCAGCAUUUUCUUUUAUUUUUUAUCAAAAGUUGUAGACCUCAAUUUGCUUUUCAAUAUGAUAUUUCUAGGUUAAUAAGCCAGUUAUUACAAUAAAAUCAUAUUUCCUGAAGUGAUAUGUUUUGUAAAUAGUUUUAUAUAAUAGAUGUAAGAUUCCUCCUUCCUGGAUAUCAUUUUGACUCCUGUUAGUAUUUUUGCUGCCUUUCAUUAAUGGAAUGAUUUUACAUCAUUUAAGUACAUAUUUUGGGUAAUUUCUAUCAAGGCAAACACUGCUGUCUUCUGAGGACUUCUACCAAGGCCUGUAAAAAACUAAGGUGGGAAUUUUACUCUUAACUUGGCUAUGUUUUAAGUUUAGGAAGCCAAUUUUUCUGGCUCUGAAAUGAAGUCAUUUUCUUCUUUUUUUUAUAUAUAAAUAAGACUAAUUUAUUUUCAGUUUCUACUGAAACUGCAAUCUUCUCCCUUCUGUCUAAAUGGCCCAGACCAUUUUAUUCUAUGGUUUGAGCUCCUCACAGAGCUCCCUUGUUGUCAUUAAUACACUAUCCUAUGUGUGCUGUCCACCACUUUACACAUUCACACUAGGAAAGUUAGGUUGAAAAAUUAGAAUCUUUCUUACAGCUUUCGGACAGUAAGGAAGCACUAAGGAAGAACAUUUUAAAGACACUUUUAUACUCGUAUCUUCCUUCUUCUUCAGUGCUAGGAAAAUAUAUGGGAUAAUUUGGUCCACUUUGUCUGGGAAUAAUUAUUUAUGAGGAGAUAUGUGCUCUGUAGAAGAAAGGUUUGACAAGUAAUAUAUAUUUUUUAGCUCAUUGGCCUUGGGAGCAUGUUAGUGAUCCUACCAUAAAAAGCAUAUGCUUAAAAAGUGGUUACUGUGUGAGGAUAGUAACUAUUCUUAUAUAGUAUUGUGUCAUAGGGAGGGUUUCAUUUUACCUGGGAGGAAUGAAUGAAUUUAAACCAAUACACAAAUUCUGUAAUGAUUUUUUUCUUCAGGAUAUGAUCUGGCCUGACAAAUAUCUCUUCAUUAACUAUAGAAGCUUGGGAUUCCAUCAUACUUACCUAGAGGUUACAUGAAAUGAUGAACUGUACCUAGCAAUAUUGGUCUAUCUUGUCCUCAGGGGAAAAAUAGGCCUCUACAUGUAACAUGUGAUACUCGCAAGAUUAGAAUUUAAUAAAGUGCAAGAGAAUACCAAAAGUUUUGAUAUUUUACUUGCUUGUUUUUUAUUUGUUUUUGUUUUUUUUAAUUUGAGGAAAUAAGCACUCUGUAUUCCUUACCCUAAUUGCCAACUGUGCCCUAGUGGAUUGAACAUCAAGGAUUUGUCACAUUUUUUUUUUUCCUUCAGAAAAGCAGGGCAUCACAAAUCAUCAGUGAAUCUUUUGCUGAGUAAUGGUGGUUUUUCAAUAUUAAUUUAUUUAAGCACAUUUUGUUUUUAGAAAUCAGUAUUUUUUUAUUCCAAGAUCAUAUAUAUUGUGUGUAUACACAUCAUUAAUAUCAUGUUUUCUCAUCUUUAUAAUUUGUUCUGGUAGUAUAAAUAAAAAUAAUAAUUUAGUUUUCUGAAAUAUAAUUACAAUCAUUAACUUAGAAUGUAGCAUGUUGAAAUAAAAGGAAGUUGUUUUUUAAAUUUAUUUCUUGUUGUAAUUUGUUACAUAUUGACAGCAGAAUGUAUUACAAUUCAUAUUACACAUACAGGGCACAUUUUUUCAUAUCUCUGGUUGUAUACAAAGUAUAUU